rnacentral:rRNA from 1 species
UGCGUAGGCGGGGCAAUUAGUCAGUGGUGAAAUCCUGCGGCUUAACCGUAGAACUGCCAUUGAUACUGUUGCUCUUGAGUAUAGUUGAGGUGGGCGGAAUGUGUAAUGUAGCGGUGAAAUGCAUAGAUAUUACACAGAACACCAAUUGCGAAGGCAGCUCACUAAGCUAUAACUGACGCUGAGGCACGAAAGCGUGGGGAGCGAACAGGAUUAGAUACCCUGGUAGUC